ACGGAAGGCAGCAGUGAGGAAUAUUGGUCAAUGGACGCAAGUCUGAACCAGCCAUGCCGCGUGCAGGAAUAAGGCCCUAUGGGUCGUAAACUGCUUUUGUGGUGGAGCAAUAAGUCGUACGUGUACGGCGAUGAGAGUACAUCACGAAUAAGCAUCGGCUAACUCCGUGCCAGCAGCCGCGGUAAUACGGAGGAUGCAAGCGUUAUCCGGAUUUAUUGGGUUUAAAGGGUGCGUAGGCUGUGGUCCAAGUCAGGGGUGCAAGCCCGGAGCUCAACUCCGGAACUGCCUUUGAUACUGGAUUGCUGGAAUACGGAUGCCGUGGGAGGAAUGAGUAGUGUAGCGGUGAAAUGCAUAGAUAUUACUCAGAACACCGAUUGCGAAGGCAUCUCACGAAUCCGUCAUUGACGCUGAGGCACGAAAGCGUGGGGAUCAAACAGGAUUAGAUACCCUGGUA
rnacentral:rRNA from 1 species